rnacentral:rRNA from 1 species
CGAGCUGGUUGAUAGGUCGGGUGUGGAAGCGCUGCAAGGCGUUGAGCUAACCGAUACUAAUGGCCCGUGAGGCUUGACCAU